rnacentral:rRNA from 1 species
CUGGCUCAGGAUGAACGCUGGCGGCGUGCCUAACACAUGCAAGUCGAGCGGGGUUAAGUGAAAUUUCGGAUGGAGCUUAACUUAGUGGCGGACGGGUGAGUAACGCGUGGAUAACCUGCCUCACACUGGGGGAUAGCAGCUGGAAACGGCUGGUAAUACCGCAUAAGACCACAGCACCGCAUGGUGCAGGGGUAAAAGAUUUAUCGGUGUGAGAUGGAUCCGCGUCUGAUUAGCCAGUUGGCGGGGUAACGGCCCACCAAAGCGACGAUCAGUAGCCGGCCUGAGAGGGUGAACGGCCACAUUGGGACUGAGACACGGCCCAAACUCCUACGGGAGGCAGCAGUGGGGAAUAUUGCACAAUGGGCGCAAGCCUGAUGCAAGCAACGCCGCGUGAGUGAAGAAGUAUUUCGGUAUGUAAAGCUCUAUCGGCAGGGAAGAAAGGCCCGAAAGGGAGAUGACGGUACCUGACUAAGAAGCCCCGGCUAACUACGUGCCAGCCGCCGC